rnacentral:rRNA from 1 species
ACGAACGCUGGCGGCGUGCUUAACACAUGCAAGUCGAACGGUAAGGCUCCAGCUUGCUGGGGUACACGAGUGGCGAACGGGUGAGUAACACGUGGGUGACCUGCCCUGCACUUCGGGAUAAGCCUGGGAAACUGGGUCUAAUACCGGAUAGGACCGCACCGUGAGGGUGUGGUGGAAAGUUUUUUCGGUGUGGGAUGGGCCCGCGGCCUAUCAGCUUGUUGGUGGGGUAAUGGCCUACCAAGGCGGCGACGGGUAGCCGGCCUGAGAGGGUGGACGGCCACAUUGGGACUGAGACACGGCCCAGACUCCUACGGGAGGCAGCAGUGGGGAAUAUUGCACAAUGGGCGGAAGCCUGAUGCAGCGACGCCGCGUGGGGGAUGACGGCCUUCGGGUUGUAAACUCCUUUCACCAUCGACGAAGGGUUUCUGACGGUAGAUGGAGAAGAAGCACCGGCUAACUACGU